rnacentral:rRNA from 1 species
CAUAGGUUUGGUCCCAGCCUUCCUGUUAACUCUUAAUAAACUUACACAUGCAAGCAUCUACACCCCAGUGAGAAUGCCCUCUAGGUUAUUAAAACUAAGAGGAGCUGGCAUCAAGCACACACCCUGUAGCUCACGACGCCUUGCUUAACCACACCCCCACGGGAAACAGCAGUGACAAAAAUUAAGCCAUAAACGAAAGUUUGACUAAGUUAUAUUAAUUAGGGUUGGUAAAUCUCGUGCCAGCCACCGCGGUCAUACGAUUAA